rnacentral:rRNA from 1 species
GCGGAUAUUACAUCCUUUCGGGUACAUCUGCUGAAACCUUAGUGAAUUGAUUAGGCGACUCUAAACAAAUAUAAUCCUCGGGGAUUGCCCUUGAGCACUAGCCAUUUCUUGUAGAUGGCGA